UUUAAAAUGAGAGUUUGAUCCUGGCUCAGGACGAACGCUGGCGGCGUGCCUAAUACAUGCAAGUCGAGCGAGCGGAACUAACAGAUCUACUUCGGUAAUGACGUUAGGAAAGCGAGCGGCGGAUGGGUGAGUAACACGUGGGGAACCUGCCCCAUAGUCUGGGAUACCACUUGGAAACAGGUGCUAAUA
rnacentral:rRNA from 1 species